rnacentral:rRNA from 1 species
GACGAACGCUGGCGGCGUGCUUAACACAUGCAAGUCGAACGGAAAGGCCCUGCUUUUGUGGUGUGCUCGAGUGGCGAACGGGUGAGUAACACGUGAGUAACCUGCCCUUGACUUUGGUAUAACUUCAGGAAACUGGGGCUAAUACCGGAUCGGAGCUCCUGCUGCAUGGUGGGGGUUGGAAAGUUUCGGCGGUUGGGGUUGGACUCGCGGCUUAUCAGCUUGUUGGUUGGGUAGUGGCUUACCAAGGCUUUGACGGGUAGCCGGCCUGAGAGGGUGACCGGCCACAUUGGGACUGAGAGACGGCCCAGACUCCUACGGGAGGCAGCAGUGGGGAAUAUUGCACAAUGGGCGGAAGCCUGAUGCAGCAACGCCGCGUGCGGGAUGACGGCCUUCGGGUUGUAAACCGCUUUCGCCUGUGACGAAGCGGGAGUGACGGUAAUGGGUAAAGAAGCACCGGCUAACUACGUG